rnacentral:rRNA from 1 species
AACGAACGCUGGCGGCGUGCUUAAUACAUGCAAGUCGAACGAGAACAGUCCCUUCGGGGGACUCAGUAAAGUGGCGCACGGGUGCGUAACACGUGGGUAACCAACCGUAAGGUUCGGGACAACACUUCGAAAGAGGUGCUAAUACCGGAUAAGACCACGGCCCUCUUUUGGAGGGUGGGGUAAAAGGUGGCCUCUCCCUGGAAGCUAUCGCCUUUUGACGGGCCCGCGGCCCAUCAGCUAGUUGGUGAGGUAACGGCUCACCAAGGCUAAGACGGGUAGCUGGUCUGAGAGGAUGUCCAGCCACACUGGAACUGAGACACGGUCCAGACUCCUACGGGUGGCUG